rnacentral:lncRNA from 1 species
UUCCUGUAAUCAAAGAACAACACUGAAUGUGAAACAUUCCUGUAAUCAAAGAACAACACUGAAUGUGACACAUUCCUGUAAUCAAAGCACAUGACUAUGUAAUACAUGUAAUCAAAGAACAACACUGAAUGUGAAACAUUCCUGUAAUCAAAGCACUGAAUGUGAAGCAUACAUGUAAUCUAAACAACACUGAAUGUGAAGCAUACAUGUAAUCUAAACAACACUGAAUGUGAAACAAACCUGUAAUCAAAGCACAUCACUGAAUUUGAAGUAUACCUGUAAUCUUAUCAACAUUGAAUGUGAAACAUACUUGUUUUCAAAGCACAACACUGAAUGUGAAGCAUACCUG